CAGAGGUCUCAACCGGUUGUUCGGAUUCGAUUGGGCGUAAAGGGUGCGUAGGCGGUCGUGCAAGUCGGAUGUGAAAUCUCAGGGCUCAACCCUGAAACUGCAUUCGAUACUGCGUGGCUAGAGUGCUGGAGAGGAGACUGGAAUUUACGGUGUAGCAGUGAAAUGCGUAGAUAUCGUAAGGAAGACCAGUGGCGAAGGCGAGUCUCUGGACAGCAACUGACGCUGAGGCACGAAGGCCAGGGGAGCAAACGGGAUUAGAUACCCCGGUAGUCCUGGCAGUAAACGGUGCACGUUUGGUGUAGGCGGAUUCGACCCCGCCUGUGCCGGAGCUAACGCGUUAAACGCGCCGCCUGGGGAGUACGGUCGCAAGAUUA
rnacentral:rRNA from 1 species